UGGACUGGAAUCACUCGAAUCUGCUGGAGGCCGGGGCGGACGUCUACCAGCCUAGGUUCAAGCUGAACACGAACGUCAUCAGGGUGCCCAUCUGCCC
rnacentral:ribozyme from 1 species